UACGUAGGGAGCAAGCGUUGUCCGGAAUCAUUGGGCGUAAAGCGCGCGUAGGCGGCCCUGUAAGUCCGCUGUGAAAGUCAAAGGCUCAACCUUUGAAUGCCGGUGGAUACUGCAGGGCUAGAGUCCGGAAGAGGCAAGUGGAAUUCCUGGUGUAGCGGUGGAAUGCGCAGAUAUCAGGAGGAACACCAACGGCGAAGGCAGCUUGCUGGGACGGUACUGACGCUAAGGCGCGAAAGCUAGGG
rnacentral:rRNA from 1 species